rnacentral:rRNA from 1 species
CACCUGAAUCCAUUCCGAACUCAGAAGUGAAACGAAAUAGCGUCGAUGGUAGUGUGGGGUUUCCCCAUGUGAGAGUAGAACAUCGCCAGGC